AGCUCCUAGAAGACAUAAUCCACCAAACAAGGGAGUACACCAAGAAAGAGGAAUAAAUGUGACUUAGGAAACAGCAUCUGAAACACAGAAGACAGAGAAUCCACAGGAUGAUUGUGAAGACAGGUUACAGCAUGUUCCUGAGGAUUGUGUGUCCAUCAGCUAGCACCACAGUCCCUUCCAGCAGCCGUCUCAUGACUCUUUGAGUCCAAAACGCAACGUCUCUUUGAAAGUGCCAGCACUGGGGACCACACAAUCCCUUAUUGAUUUUCUAAUAUAUGCUU
rnacentral:lncRNA from 10 species